ACCUGGCUAUAUGAACAUCCCCAAACCUAACUAAAGAAGAAAAAGAAAAGGACAGAAUUAUAUAUACCAAGCAUGUUGUCUUAAUUGAAAAAGUAUGCCAGAACCAAAAUACUAAAUUCAAAUUGAACUACUUAUACAUAAAUGCACACAUCUUUACAUUUUAGUUUCCAAAGUUUAAGAAAAUAUAUGCCAAAUAUUACCAAGGGAGUACACUAAUUACAAUGCAACAACAUACAUACUUGUGCCAAAGGUGAUACUCGA
rnacentral:misc_RNA from 1 species